rnacentral:rRNA from 1 species
UACGUAGGGGGCAAGCGUUGUCCGGAAUCAUUGGGCGUAAAGCGCGUGUAGGCGGCUGGCUAAGUCCGCUCUGAAAGCCCGGGGCUCAACCCCGGGAGGCGGGUGGAUACUGGUCAGCUCGAGUCCGGAAGAGGAGUGUGGAAUUCCUGGUGUAGCGGUGAAAUGCGCAGAUAUCAGGAGGAACACCAAUGGCGAAGGCAGCACUCUGGGACGGUACUGACGCUGAGGCGCGACAGCGUGGGGAGCAAACAGG